GACGAACGCUGGCGGCGUGCUUAACACAUGCAAGUCGAACGGAAAGGCCCUGCUUGCCGGGUACUCGAGUGGCGAACGGGUGAGUAACACGUGGGUGAUCUGCCCUGCACUUCGGGAUAAGCCUGGGAAACUGGGUCUAAUACCGGAUAGGAGCCAUUUUUAGUGUGAUGGUUGGAAAGUUUUUUCGGUGUAGGAUGAGCUCGCGGCCUAUCAGCUUGUUGGCGGGGUAAUGGCCUACCAAGGCGGCGACGGGUAGCCGGCCUGAGAGGGUGGACGGCCACAUUGGGACUGAGAUACGGCCCAGACUCCUACGGGAGGCAGCAGUGGGGAAUAUUGCACAAUGGGCGCAAGCCUGAUGCAGCGACGCCGCGGGGGGGAUGACGGCCUUCGGGUUGUAAACGCCUUUCGCUAGGGACGAAGCUUUUUGUGACGGUACCUAGAUAAGAAGCACCGGCUAACUACGUG
rnacentral:rRNA from 1 species